AUUGAACGCUGGCGACAUGCCUUACACAUGCAAGUCGAACGGCAGCACGGGUGCUUGCACCUGGUGGCGAGUGGCGAACGGGUGAGUAAUACAUCGGAACAUGUCCUGUAGUGGGGGAUAGCCCGGCGAAAGCCGGAUUAAUACCGCAUACGAUCUACGGAUGAAAGCGGGGGACCUUCGGGCCUCGCGCUAUAGGGUUGGCCGAUGGCUGAUUAGCUAGUUGGUGGGGUAAAGGCCUACCAAGGCGACGAUCAGUAGCUGGUCUGAGAGGACGACCAGUCACACUGGGACUGGGACACGGCCCAGACUCCUACGGGAGGCAGCAGUGGGGAAUUUUGGACAAUGGGCGAAAGCCUGAUCCAGCAAUGCCGCGUGUGUGAAGAAGGCCUUCGGGCUGUAAAGCACUUUUGUCCGGAAAGAAAUCCUUGGCCCUAAUACGGUCGGGGGAUGACGGUACCGGAAGAAUAAGCACCGGCUAACUACGUG
rnacentral:rRNA from 1 species